rnacentral:rRNA from 1 species
UGGGGAAUAUUGCACAAUGGGGGAAACCCUGAUGCAGCGACGCCGCGUGAACGAAGAAGGUAUUCGUAUCGUAAAGUUCUGUCCUAUGGGAAGAUAAUGACAGUACCAUAGAAGAAAGCCCCGGCUAAAUACGUGCCAGCAGCCGCGGUAAUACGUAUGGAGCGAGCGUUGUCCGGAAUUAUUGGGCGUAAAGGGUACGCAGGCGGUUUAAUAAGUCGAAUGUUAAAGAUCGGGGCUCAACCCCGUAAAGCAUUGGAAACUGAUAAACUUGAGUAGUGGAGAGGAAAGUGGAAUUCCUAGUGUAGUGGUGAAAUACGUAGAUAUUAGGAGGAAUACCAGUAGCGAAGGCGACAUUCUGGAGACAAACUGACGCUGAGGUACGAAAGCGUGGGGAGCAAACAGG